UACGGGGGGAGCUAGCGUUGUUCGGAUAUACUGGGCGUAAAGCGCACGUAGGCGGCGUCGUAAGUCAGGGGUGAAAUCCCGGAGCUCAACUCCGGAACUGCCCUUGAAACUGCAAUGCUAGAAUCUUGGAGAGGCGAGUGGAAUUCCGAGUGUAGAGGUGAAAUUCGUAGAUAUUCGGAAGAACACCAGUGGCGAAGGCGACUCGCUGGACAAGUAUUGACGCUGAGGUGCGAAAGCGUGGGGAGCAAACAGG
rnacentral:rRNA from 1 species